GCAGUCGAGCGGUAGCACAGAGGAGCUUGCUCCUUGGGUGACGAGCGGCGGACGGGUGAGUAAUGUCUGGGAAACUGCCUGAUGGAGGGGGAUAACUACUGGAAACGGUAGCUAAUACCGCAUAACCUCGCAAGAGCAAAGAGGGGGACCUUAGGGCCUCUCGCCAUCAGAUGUGCCCAGAUGGGAUUAGCUAGUAGGUGAGGUAAUGGCUCACCUAGGCGACGAUCCCUAGCUGGUCUGAGAGGAUGACCAGCCACACUGGAACUGAGACACGGUCCAGACUCCUACGGGAGGCAGCAGUGGGGAAUAUUGCACAAUGGGCGCAAGCCUGAUGCAGCCAUGCCGCGUGUGUGAAGAAGGCCUUCGGGUUGUAAAGCACUUUCAGCGAGGAGGAAGGCGGUAAGGUUAAUAACCUUAUCGAUUGACGUUACUCGCAGAAGAAGCACCGGCUAACUCCGUGCCAGCAGCCGCGGUAAUACGGAGGGUGCAAGCGUUAAUCGGAAUGACUGGGCGUAAAGCGCACGCAGGCGGUCUGUUAAGUUGGAUGUGAAAUCCCCGGGCUUAACCUGGGAACUGCAUUCAAAACUGACAGGCUAGAGUCUUGUAGAGGGGGGUAGAAUUCCAGGUGUAGCGGUGAAAUGCGUAGAGAU
rnacentral:rRNA from 1 species